UACGUAGGGGGCGAGCGUUGUUCGGAAUUACUGGGCGUAAAGCGCACGUAGGCGGCUUUGCAAGUCAGAGGUGAAAGCCCGGGGCUCAACCCCGGAAUUGCCUUUGAGACUGCAUCGCUAGAAUUGUGGAGAGGUAAGUGGAAUUCCGAGUGUAGAGGUGAAAUUCGUAGAUAUUCGGAAGAACACCAGUGGCGAAGGCGACUUACUGGACACAUAUUGACGCUGAGGUGCGAAAGCGUGGGGAGCAAACAGG
rnacentral:rRNA from 1 species